rnacentral:lncRNA from 1 species
CAUUUUAGACUAGAUAUAUUCUGCUUGCUACACAUUAUUUUUCAGUUCUUACAAUAUUCAUACUACUUUUUUUUUUACUAUAUAUACCACUCUUUUCACUAUGUAUACCUCUUUUAUAAUAUGAAUUCAACGUUUACACUAUAUGUACAACCUUUGACACAGACUGUAAAGUAUUAUACCUGAAUAAUUACAUUAGAUAUAUGUUUCCUUAUAAUAUGUUAUUCUGAUUGGCUAACUGCACAUCACGUGUUAUUCCGUAAGAAAUUGCAUUACUCAAUAAAACUUAUCAUUCAUGAUGACACGAGGUCCCAUAAUAAAGUGC